rnacentral:rRNA from 1 species
GUCUAUAGUCACGCCACCCUGAACACGCCCGAUCCCAUCUGAUCUUGGAAGCUAAGCAGGGUCGGGCCUGGUUAAUACUUGGAUGGGAGACCACCUAGGAAUACCAGGUGCUGUAGGCG